UUUGUUCCUAUUUUUACCAUCUGCAACUCUGUUUUAAAGUGUGGGUUCCCUGAACAUCUCCAAGAGGGUUGGGAGGUCACCUCUUAACCCAGGACUCUUCUCAGUCUGAGAAAAUCUGACAGCUGCUCUGAUAUUUGGUUGGAGGCUUUGAAAGAGUCAUAGGAAUCAUCAUAAUAAUUCUGAACUCUUUCAUCUGAAGAUCUCAAAGACCUGCAUAAACAUUAAUUAUUCUCAUAGCACUGCUUGGAGUCUAGUUAAUAUGGGGAAACCGACCCCACCCCCCAUACAUCUGACAGCAGGAACUCAAGACAGGACAGCCAGCUCUGUUAGAAGCUUUGGGGCUCCAUAUUUACCCAGAUGCCAGAGUAUCCAGAGUCCUCUGAAAAUGAAAACUGCUCUUUCCAAAAGAAUCAAGCUGCCAUUUUGCCCCAGUACUUAUGGAGAAGCCCGGUUGGCAAGGAACUGUGAGCAACCUCUUAGAGCUAAAAGCAGUGCCUAGCCCACAGUCAUUGAAAAACUGGAUUCCUGGUCUUACAGCAUCAAGGAACUCAAUUCUGCCAACAAUCUGCAUCUGGAAGCUCAUCUACCACUAGUCAGGUCUCCCCAUAUGGAACUGAGCCCUGGCCCACACCAUGAAGACACCUUUGCAAGGAGUGAGUCUGCUCAUGACCAAUCUCCUCACCCACAGGAUGUGGGUGUUGUUUUAAGCCACUGAGUUUAUGGCAAUUUGUUGUGUAUCAUGGAAGACAAACACACUCAUUCCCUUGUCUUGUAAGCCUCCAAUCUGAGUAAGGUGGCCUCAGCUCCCCACCUUUUCUUUUUAUAACCUUUAAUGUA